rnacentral:rRNA from 1 species
UACAGAGGGGGCAAGCGUUGUCCGGAAUCAUUGGGCGUAAAGCGCGUGUAGGCGGCUCGGUAAGUCCGCUCUGAAAGUCCAGGGCUCAACCCUGGGAUGCGGGUGGAUACUGCCGGGCUCGAGUCCGGAAGAGGCGAGUGGAAUUCCCGGUGUAGCGGUGAAAUGCGCAGAUAUCGGGAGGAACACCAAUGGCGAAGGCAGCUCGCUGGGACGUGACUGACGCUGAGACGCGAAAGCGUGGGGAGCAAACAGG